GAAGUUUGAAAACACUAUUCAUGUAGUCCAUAUCAACAGAAUUUAUGUAGUAAGCACAUUAUCGUAUAGUGUUUUUUAACCGACUAUGUUUUUCAUUUGUGCUGACUAUACAAAUUGUCAAUAAACGGAUAUACUUUGUUAUUGUCACAUAAAGUUACAAUACAGAAGACAAUUUCGUAACACAUCAGUGAUUGAUUUGAAAAAAAAAAUGUAUAUUGUGACUUAUAUUGUGCAAUUUGGAAGUUCUUGCAGUGAAAUCGACGUCCUGUAUAAUUUUUAUUAUUCGUUAUCGGUCGCUGUAGAAACAACAUCAAGCGAUUGAUUAAAAACGACGAACAUCAUCCGAUUCCCGGAUUCAAAUCGCUCGAAUCCGACGGAAAAAUAACAAUAUAUGGCAGGAAAAACUUCAACGAACAAAGCCUGGGAUCAACAGUUGCAACCAAGCAAUGCUGCUCCGUGUCUACGUUGAUAAUCAAUAUUUCAUCAGGCACAUCA